AGAGUUUGAUCCUGGCUCAGGACAAACGCUGGCGGCAUGCCUAACACAUGCAAGUCGAACGGACGGAGGAAAGAGAUCUCUUCGGAGUGAUCUUUCCCGAGUUAGUGGCGGAUGGGUGAGUAACGCGUGAGUGACCUGCCCAACAGUGGGGAAUAACAGUGAGAAAUCAUUGCUAAUACCGCAUAGCUUACAAGUGCUUCAUGGUACCUGUAAGAAAGACGGCCUUCGUGCUGUCGCUGUUGGAUGGACUCGCGUCUGAUUAGCCAGUUGGUGGGGUAACGGCCUACCAAAGCAAUGAUCAGUAGCCGGCCUGAGAGGGUGAACGGCCACAUUGGGACUGAGACACGGCCCAAACUCCUACGGGAGGCAGCAGUGGGGAAUUUUGCACAAUGGGGGAAACCCUGAUGCAGCGACGCCGCGUGAUUUAGAAGGCCUUCGGGUUGUAAAAAUCUUUUUUAUGGGAUGAAAAUGACAGUACCAUAAGAAUAAGGUCCGGCUAAAUACGUGCCAGCAGCCGCGGUAAUACGUAUGGACCGAGCGUUGUCCGGAAUCAUUGGGCGUAAAGGGUACGUAGGCGGCCUAGUAAGUUAGAAGUGAAAUAAUAUAGCUCAACUAUAUAAAGCUUUUAAAACUGUUAGGCUUGAGAGAUGAAAGGGAAAGUGGAAUUCCUAGUGUAGCGGUGAAAUGCGCAGAUAUUAGGAAGAAUACCGGUGGCGAAGGCGACUUUCUGGUCAUCAUCUGACGCUGAGGUACGAAAGCGUGGGUAGCAAACAGGAUUAGAUACCCUGGUAGUCCACGCUGUAAACGAUGAGUGUUAGGUUCUUGGAAUAAUCUGGGAGCCGCAGCUAACGCAUUAAACACUCCGCCUGGGGAGUACGCACGCAAGUGUGAAACUCAAAGGAAUUGACGGGGACCCGCACAAGCAGCGGAGCAUGUGGUUUAAUUCGACGCAACGCGAAGAACCUUACCAAGUCUUGACAUAAUACGGAGGGAAUUAGAGAUAGUUUCUUAAGACUUCGGUCUACUGUAUUACAGGUGGUGCAUGGUUGUCGUCAGCUCGUGUCGUGAGAUGUUGGGUUAAGUCCC
rnacentral:rRNA from 1 species